GAGUCAUCUUUGUCCACAUGAUACCAGGAUGCAUACUCUGGUAUUUGUCAUCUGGAAUGAUCUUUGGAUCAUUGGCCCUCCACGGACACCUCCUGGCAUGUCCCAAAACCACCAAAAGGCUGCAUGUGCUGAUACCUCAACAGGAUCCCCCUUUCUCAAAGGACAUUAUUGCCACCAGGAGUGGGAGUGGCAUGUACCUGACAAUGAGGGGGAUAAAAAAGAGGUUUUCGCUCCAGGCUGAGAGGAGUAGGGUCCUGACAUCUGCACAGUGGGGGUGAGCAGGCUUUUGGAAGUCAGAGAAUAUUGUGAAGCAGACGACCCCAUGUUGGGCCAGAAUCCUGGAGCCUUAGCUGGACCAGAGAGCACAGAAGUGUGUGUCCUGAGUCUCCAGGCAAAUGGGAGCAUCCUGAUGCAAGAGCAGGUGGGCAGACAUGGAGCCCAGUGACAUCUCAGGUACGGAGGAGCAGGUUAACUAAGUUGACACAGCAUAAACCACCGCGGAUGUGUUGAAUCAGGAGAACUGUCACCCAAACAGCAGAGCUGGAGUGAAAAAGAGCCAUUGCUGAGUGGAGCCACUUCCGAGUGGAGAAGGUGAGAAUGUGGUGCAGAGCACCAGCCGGCAGUGCAGGGAAGCCAGGUGGAAACAGGAGGGGGAUCGGGGCUGAAAGAGCAGUGCAAAGCCAAGGCCAUGAGUGUGUGCCUUUGUGUUUCAGAAUGGAGCAUGUUGAGCACUGUGAUGAAGGUGACAGCUUGAAGUGUGACCAACAGCCAACUAUUACCCUUUGGUAUAGAGGAACUUCCACGGUGUCAUGGCCCAGGACACUCUCAGCUGAUGAAAGAGCACCCUCUCUUCUCCAGAACAGAUGA
rnacentral:lncRNA from 1 species